CUAUACAUGCAAGUCGAGCGAAUCAAUUGGAGCUUGCUCCUUUUGAUUAGCGGCGGACGGGUGAGUAACACGUGGGCAACCUGCCCUGCAGAUGGGGAUAACUCCGGGAAACCGGGGCUAAUACCGAAUAAUCAGUUCCUUCGCAUGAAGGAACUCUGAAAGACGGUUUCGGCUGUCACUGCAGGAUGGGCCCGCGGCGCAUUAGCUAGUUGGUGGGGUAAUGGCCUACCAAGGCAACGAUGCGUAGCCGACCUGAGAGGGUGAUCGGCCACACUGGGACUGAGACACGGCCCAGACUCCUACGGGAGGCAGCAGUAGGGAAUCUUCCACAAUGGACGAAAGUCUGAUGGAGCAAUGCCGCGUGAGUGAAGAAGGUUUUCGGAUCGUAAAGCUCUGUUGCGAGGGAAGAACACGUACGGGAGUAACUGCCCGUACCUUGACGGUACCUCGUCAGAAAGCCACG
rnacentral:rRNA from 1 species